rnacentral:rRNA from 1 species
AUUGAACGCUGGCGGCAGGCCUAACACAUGCAAGUCGAGCGGAGCGGCGGACGCGUGAGUAAUGCCAAGGAAUCUGCCUGGUCGUGGGGGCUAACGUCCGGAAACGGGCGCUAAUACCGCAUCCUAUCAGAUGAGCCUAGGUCGGAUUAGCUAGGUGGUGGGGUAAAGGCCGACCAAGGCGACGAUCCGUAACUGGUCUGAGAGGAUGAUCAGUCACACUGGAACUAGGACACGGUGCAGACUCCUACGGGAGGCAGCAGGGGGGAAGAGUGGACAAUGGGCGAGAGCCUGAGCCAGCCAUGCCGCGUGUGUGAGGAAGGUCUUCGGAUUGUAAAGCACUUUAAGUUGGGAGGCGUUACCAACAGAAUAAGCACCGGCUAACUUCGUGCCAGCAGCCGCGGUAAUAC